AAUAUUUGAAGGUGACCUUUUGGUUGGUGCCGAUGGAAUAUGGUCAAAGGUGAGGAAGACACUAUUCGGGCACUCAGAUGCCACCUAUUCAGGUUACACCUGCUACACUGGAAUUGCAGAUUUUGUGCCGCCUGAUAUCGAUACGGUUGGGUAU